rnacentral:lncRNA from 1 species
UAAAGAUUAUAGAAUCUAUGGCAGUUUCUCUAAAUCCGAGUAUCUAUAAAGCUGGAACAUUAAAAAAAACACGAGGUUUCCUUGAUGAAAUAUGUUUCUUGAUGAACUUUGAACCAUACAACCUGAUAUUUGCAUGAAAAAAUGCGCAGACCUAAUGAAGCCAGAUUGUCUGGUAAGCAACAGAAGUGUGUUGUUUCAUGGCUUAAAAUGACUGUAGUUUUUGGGUUGUAAGUUCAUUUGGUUUCACUUAUUGACUGAAUAUGGCUGAAAAUGAUUGUACCUCUGCAAUCUUUCCUACUAAAACUAAUCACGCCUUUCUUUUUGUCUAAUUUUUUCCUCUGUCAGUAUUACACUUAUUAGAUAGUUUGUAUAGUUUUACGUUGACUGAUAGGAUUCUUCUGCAUGCUAUUUAGAUUGCCAACUCUGUUCAGCGGUUUAGUUGCGGUAUUCCUCUGUCAACAACUUUUUCCCCAAAUUUUGGCUGGUCUUUUGAUUCACAAAGAUCGUAUUCUAUCUCAUCUCUCAAUCAUGUGAUUAUUGCAAAAAAGACAUUUUUGCAGAUUUGAUCUAUUUUCCAGUUAUGAUGACAGAUAGGCUUCUUAGCAAUUUAGGUCUUUACGUUUUAGGGAAAUCUGGAAUCAGAAAGGGAACAUACAUAUUUAUCACUCCUUAUUUUGUCUUGCAAUCUGAGCUCUUACUAUUGGAAGGAAAUAGGAGCAGCAAAAAAUCCCACCUUGCUCUUCGCUGCUUUUUCUCUGAUGCCUUCUUGGGUAAGACAGAUUUUUUCUUUACUUUUUGUUAAUUUCUUUACAUAACAAAUACCAAUAGUAGAUAAAUAAAGAAACUAAUGUAUACACAUUAUUGAUCAUAGUCUCUUUUUGGAUUUUAUCUUCGUUGACAAGGUUUGUUUCAUUUUUUUAAGUUUUUGAUUAGAUGUUCUUCAUUUUGUUAUUUCUUUUUCUCAUCUUUUUUAUUAAAUGAUGUUCUGAUGUUUGAGUUUUUUUUUUGGUUGGUGGUGUUUGUUUUGGUUGCAAGCAAAUACAGAUGUUCAAACAAGUCAAGUAUGUGAAAUCUCAUAGACUAAUGACUAUCAAGCGUUUGAUGAAAUGUCUAUAUGAAACUUGGGAUAAUUAGUAGAGAACACGUGGAGAGAAAGAUUACACAGGUAAAUUCUAUUUUGCUCUAUAUCCUUUUUUUUUCUAUGGCCAAUUCUUUUUGUGUUUUCUAGGGCACUUUAUCUUUCCUUUUCGACCUUUUUUGGUUCUGAUCUUGAUCUCAUGUUGCUCAUUCUAUGUUGACGUUCGCUAUAUUUUUGCUAGUGAUAGAUGUCAUAUGGAAGUUUAAUUUUGAUCUUUCAGUUUGAUUUUUGAAAAAUUUUGUUCAUUCUUUCAACCUUUAUAUGCCUUUCAAGUUCAAUUUGGUCCAUGUAUACUUUCAACUCUUCAUCUUUUCGUUACUUUUCCAGAAUCUUUUUUGUGGCUGAGCUAAGAUUUCUUAAAAAUGACUUUGAUGUCUAUGCCUUUUGAGGAACAUGAUUACAUAGGCUUAUCAGAGGUUCCUGCAAUGGAAAGUUCUGAAAAGAAUAAUGCUCUGCCUUUGGGAGAUAAAUAAGAAAAUAAAAUGAUGCAUUGUCCUGCGUGCUAUGGGAGGGGUCUAAUUGCUCAGAGAUGGGUUUGAUACAAUGUAAAGUUGUAUUCCAUACUCUGACUUUGUUGUAUCUGUAGGGAGAGUUCAUACCAUAAACUGAAAGUUACACACUUCAUAGUUUAGCUAUGUUAGGCCCAUCUUGAUCGUUAGCAGCUUUCUCUCUGCAAUUAUUGUUAUCGGAUAUAAGACUUUCUAUGUAGCUGAUAGCUUGUCAAAAAAUCUCCAUGCAGAUGCUUAAAAUGUAAUGGGAUGUGUAUGGUGCCUUGAGUAACUUGUGGUUCUUGUGGGCCUAUCAAAUGUGUGACGUGCAUGGGUGGUGGUUCUCUUUUGACUCACAAAGUGGGUAUUAUCAGAUGGUAUGGCCUAUGUUGUUUUGCACAAUAUAUUUGGCAUGCCAUAUCUCUUAUAGAUUUUAGGACAUAACUAAAAGAACAUUUUGGAUUUAGUUUAAAAGAACAUAACUAAAUGAACUUGUUAUCAUGAUAGGUAAAUUGAUUUUGAAUCUAGCCUGAAGCAUUUUGGGGAAAAAAUUGUUAAAAUGCUAAAAGAACAUAACUAAGUAAAAGUUGGGGUUCAGUUUGUCAUUAAAAGUUGGUCCCUAUGCACAUUCCUCAUAGGUAAGGGCCAUUUAGUCCAUGAUCCAUUGGACAGUCAGUUCAGGGCCAGAUAUUGAAGCAGUGCCAUCUGAUUUCUUUUGAAUAAUUUUAUAACUACUUUUUCAGUUUGUUGGUUCAUUCAAGAAUGACAAGUAUGUUGGUUCAUUCAAGAUCAUUCAAGAAUGGCAAGUCAAGUAUUCACAGAAUCUUCAUUGGACAAACUUAAAUGUGCUAGGCUUGAAACCCUCCUUUGAAGUAAUUGUCAUGGAUGGCCAAGUACACCCUGUGGACAUGCGUACUAGGUCACUUAAGCCUGCAACAACUUUGGCUUGUGAUUUAUGUGUUUGGAUGCUAUGUUGAGAUCCCUACCAAAGCUAAAAGAACUUUAGUGAACCCGACCAGAAAAUUUGAAAUCACUCUGUCCACAAGAUUUAUUGUUUCGGUUUUGUUGUUUCUUGCAUGGCAUUCCUUCAAGUUAUGCUGUUUGCCUAUUUCAAUCUGCCUCAUAGUUGUGCCAUGAUGGAGAAAUAAAGGAAAACAUAAUUGUUUUAAGUACCGAUUAUGCAUUUUGUCUGUGUUUUUGGCUGUCCAGGAACACUUUCAACUCGGAAGUGAGCGCAACAAGUAGAGCUGCUACAGUUCCUGACGAUGUUUUCCACAGAGUGCAAGACAUCCAGUUGUGCAAUACCCAAGCCUACCAAUGCACUCCUGCUUUUUUUGCCGAUUCAUUCUUCCUCAACAAGUUUUCCUCUGAAGUAACUGCAGAAAGGGCUUCGGUCCCUCAUACUGCAAGGGUUAUAGUGAGAGACAUAUCAUCUCUAUUGUCCCAGUCACUCGUGUGACUAUGGCCCAUCAUAAUUGCUCUUUCAGUUUCUAUAUUAUCAGAAACGGUAGAGAAGUUUAUCUCAAGGACUAUCCGGCUAGGUUCUGUUGGGGCCUGUGCCCAUGCUUUGAGUGGUUGAAAUCAGAAGUUGCUGUUGUUACUCCUGAGGUCCUUCACUUGCUAGAUUGAAAUGAUUUCCAGAGGACAGAUAUUUUAGUUUUUGCUCAAAAUUGGGAAGAUAGAAUCAGUUCAAACAUGUUAAUGGGUUAUGCGUUGAGUGAAUGAGAUAUUGUACGAAUCAAGAUUUUUUUGUGCUCAUGCAAAAAUAGAAGUUAAGCUGGUAACUACAACCAGAAAUGCUAGCACAUAUAAAAUGGUGCAAGUAUUGCAAUGAGUAAAUGGUCCAAUGAGGAUGGUUUACAUUCUGUAUGUUGUCAACUAUAUUCUCUGCACAACAAUUUCAUCGUUAGACGUUCUAUUCAACUUAAAUGAAUAAUCAUCUAAUCAGAUUAGUAUUUUUUAAGGUUCCAAACGAGUAGUUUAAUUUUUUAUUUUUAAAAUUUAUGAUAUGCAUCUCCAUACAUCUAUAUAGGAAAACCAAAUACCUCUCCUGCAUAUUUAGCCCAACACAUUGGGCAUUGGCUGUGCGUUGCACAGCCGAAAAAGUUUCUAGUAUAUCUUACAUAUAUAUAAAAAGCUAAGACUUCUACUCCCAGGUUUAGCCACGUGGUAGGCUAAGGGAAGGGAGAAAAAUUUUCUUCCGUUUAUGCCCUGAGAAUCUUGAUUAGUUCUCUGAACAGUGUAUCACUGUUGAGGUCAUUUUUGUCUUUUCACAUGAAAUUACUAUCUUGCCCAGAUAAAAAUAACUAACUCCAAAACAGUAACUUACUAUUGAGGGCUAUUUCUGACUUCUCGCGAAUAGCCUUUUGCUUUAUUUCUCAGUUGUCAUCUUUUCUUAGACGUAGUUGCCAUCACCUCUGUUGUUCUUCACUUCUUUGUCUCCGUUAUCAAAGACAAGAAGUCAUAGGAGUCAAAAAGUCAAAUAAAAAUCUGGAAGUGCACCGAUGUGGCAGGAAAGCAAAACACUCCCUUUCUACUUCAUUUUUACAACUUUAGCCCAUAGGAGUCAAAAAGUCAAAUAAAAAUCUGGAAGUGCAUCGAUGGCAGGAAAGCAAAACACUCCCUUUCUACUUCAUUUUACAACUUUAGCCCAUCAUCUUUUGUUUUCUUCUUCCUUUCUGUCUCUCUCUGUUUCCCGUUAAUUUUUCUUUCAGCUUUCUUUUCUCCCACAAAGAGUCAAUUAUGGCUGCCCAUCCAUAUCCGAACUGUGGGAUUGUUCCACAAAAGAUGAUAAUCCUCUUUUCCUUUUCAUUGUUCCCGUUUCUUGGACUAUUCUUCUCUUCGGUGGAAAAAAAGAAGUACAGAAGCAGCUGAAUAGCUUUUAGAAACAGUGGCCAAGAAAUGGGUUGUCCGCCUGCUUCCUCCAACAAUUGGUCAACAAUUUCAGGAUUGGCUUCGCUAAAUUGUGGCUGCUCAUCGGAUUUUUUCGUUAGUCAUUAUCCAUUCCUUUUUAUUCCCCAGCCAUUCUUUUCCUCUUGCUUUGUCUCUUUUUUUCUGUUUGCUGUUCUUUACUUUCCCCCUCCUGUUGUUUCCAGAUCAGUCGGUCAAUCAUUUCAUGAUUUUCUUCCCUAAAUUAUGGCUAUCCAUCCAAUUUUUUUACUUCUGUGCUCUCUAUCAUAUCCCAACCAUGGGAUUGUGGUUUGUCCUUUUGUAUUCAUUUUCAUUUUUCGAUUGAGAAAUUAUUGAGACUCAAAAGAAAAAUCUCUGACAAUUUAUCAGUUUGCAUCUUUAUCCGCUCUGUUCAUGAUGGCUAAUACCAUUGCUAGGGAUAUAGGUUUGUCCUUUUCUUUUCCUUAUUGUUGACCACUUGGCAAAUUAUCUAGAAUGAAGGAAAGUUUGUGCCUUUAUAUUAGGAACAGAAAUACUGGUCACAAAAAACUUCACGCUUCUUCAACCUUGUCAUCUACAACUUUUUGUACUAAAGGUAACUACUACUCUUCUUUGUUUAAUUUUUUUUCCCUACCAGUAUUAAAGAGAUUGGAUAAUCUGUCUACUUGUUAUUUUGGUUGCCAAAUUUCUUGAGGGUGUUAAUUGCACUUUGAAACAAUUGGUGCAGAAAAACUUCUAAUUAAGCGUCCACAGAUUUCCAGUAUGUAGUUGCUUCAAUUUCAGGUCACUCUCUUCAGUCCUUCAGUUUCUUGUUUUUUCUUUUCCUGUUAAUAAUAUGUACAACUGAUUUUGAAGGAAGGGUUGUCACCACUUUCUGAAUAGAGAUAACCAAGCUAAAACAAGUUAAAUUCUCAGUCUGAAGUGUAAGCUGAGAAUAAAAGAUAAAAAGUCUUACACAUUAAGGUUUUGCCCCAUGUUGAAGGUAUUAUGCACAAAAGUUAGGUAGGCGAUAGAAGAAACAAAAUUUAAAACUGAUAAUCCUAAUAUUGAGUUUCUAGGAUUUGUUGUAGCUGGCUUAGAGGUGUGGUAUAUUAAUUUCUCAAAACUAUUUCUAAAGGCAACGUUCCUGGUUCCACAGAACUCUCAAAUCUUAAAACCACAACAUGUUGGCUGAUCUAUUAAUAUUCACGUAUUCUGGAUACAGUUAGUGAUGCAUAAUCGAUUCUAUGAAUACUAUUACACCCAAUUAAAGAUUAUAGAAUCUAUGGCAGUUUCUCUAAAUCCGAGUAUCUAUAAAGCUGGAACAUUAAAAAAAACACGAGGUUUCCUUGAUGAAAUAUGUUUCUUGAUGAACUUUGAACCAUACAACCUGAUAUUUGCAUGAAAAAAUGCGCAGACCUAAUGAAGCCAGAUUGUCUGGUAAGCAACAGAAGUGUGUUGUUUCAUGGCUUAAAAUGACUGUAGUUUUUGGGUUGUAAGUUCAUUUGGUUUCACUUAUUGACUGAAUAUGGCUGAAAAUGAUUGUACCUCUGCAAUCUUUCCUACUAAAACUAAUCACGCCUUUCUUUUUGUCUAAUUUUUUCCUCUGUCAGUAUUACACUUAUUAGAUAGUUUGUAUAGUUUUACGUUGACUGAUAGGAUUCUUCUGCAU